rnacentral:rRNA from 1 species
UACGGAGGGUGCAAGCGUUGUCCGGAAUCACUGGGCGUAAAGGGCGCGUAGGCGGCUCAUGAAGGCUGUGGUGAAAGUCCGGGGCUCAACCUCGGAUCGGCCGUGGCGACUCGUGGGCUGGAGCACUGUAGAGGCGGGUGGAAUUCCGGGUGUAGCGGUGGAAUGCGUAGAGAUCCGGAAGAACACCAAUGGCGAAGGCAGCUCACUGGGACGGUACUGACGCUGAGACGCGAAAGCGUGGGGAGCAAACAGG